AUUGAACGCUGGCGGCAUGCUUUACACAUGCAAGUCGGACGGCAGCACAGAGAAGCUUGCUUCUUGGGUGGCGAGUGGCGAACGGGUGAGUAAUAUAUCGGAACGUACCGAGUAAUGGGGGAUAACUAAUCGAAAGAUUAGCUAAUACCGCAUAUUCUCUGAGGAGGAAAGCAGGGGACCUUCGGGCCUUGCGUUAUUCGAGCGGCCGAUAUCUGAUUAGCUAGUUGGUGGGGUAAAGGCCUACCAAGGCGACGAUCAGUAGCGGGUCUGAGAGGAUGAUCCGCCACACUGGGACUGAGACACGGCCCAGACUCCUACGGGAGGCAGCAGUGGGGAAUUUUGGACAAUGGGCGCAAGCCUGAUCCAGCCAUGCCGCGUGUCUGAAGAAGGCCUUCGGGUUGUAAAGGACUUUUGUAAGGGAAGAAAAGGCUGUUGCUAAUACCGACAGCUGAUGACGGUACCUGAAGAAUAAGCACCGGCUAACUACGU
rnacentral:rRNA from 1 species